CAAUGGAAAGCCAUCGGUUGGGCAUAGUUAGUUCAUUACGAUUAGAUCGUUAUUUUUAUACGAAGAGUGAAUGAUUUGAUAUGUUUUGACAGUUAUUUGCGAUUGUCUUCGAAUUGUGUAAAGUUUUAUGUUCAUGGCUUAUGUCAAAAACUUACGACGGGUCUUGAGUCACCUUUGAUCGUAAAACGGACAAAUUGUGGAUGUCCAAAAUUCCAAAAUAAUUAUUUAUAUUUUAUUAAAUAUCUAAAAUUAAUAUUUUUUUCCAUUCUAAAUCUCUCAAUUCAGUCUCCCCGACCACAGUUAGCAUUUUUAGGACGAAACUUGGCGAAGUGUUUAGUGCUUUGUUUGUAAACAAUGAACUCUCUUAGAAAGAGUAAUAAAUAAUAUAUUCUUUGCAAUGAACCUAUAAAGUCAAAACAAUGAAGUUAAUUCAGUGCUAUUAAUCGAUUUAUAUAGGAUGCUGAGACUUGGACUCUGAGAGAAAGAGAUUUGGAAUAUGCCCUAUAACUGCAGACUCCAAUAUUGCAAAUAGCACCUGCAAUACAGUGGAAUAACAUAUUGGUGUGCUGAAGAAAAGAUGGCAAAGGCUUUUAGCUGAUAGGAUAUUGUACUGAUGACCCUGUUCUGUUCAAAUCAUAAAUGUGUGUGUAUUAUCAAAAUAUUUGCAUAGAUUGUGAAAUUCUGAUGAUAUUUGAUUUGGUUGGAUUUUGAUAUUUGAAAAUAAAAGAAUACUUACUUUGCUGA